GACGAACGCUGGCGGCGUGCCUAAUACAUGCAAGUAGAACGCUGAAGGAGGAGCUUGCUUCUCCGGAUGAGUUGCGAACGGGUGAGUAACGCGUAGGUAACCUGCCUGGUAGCGGGGGAUAACUAUUGGAAACGAUAGCUAAUACCGCAUAAGAGUAGAUGUUGCAUGACAUUUGCUUAAAAGGUGCAAUUGCAUCACUACCAGAUGGACCUGCGUUGUAUUAGCUAGUUGGUGGGGUAACGGCUUACCAAGGCGACGAUACAUAGCCGACCUGAGAGGGUGAUCGGCCACACUGGGACUGAGACACGGCCCAGACUCCUACGGGAGGCAGCAGUAGGGAAUCUUCGGCAAUGGACGGAAGUCUGACCGAGCAACGCCGCGUGAGUGAAGAAGGUUGUCGGAUCGUAAAGCUCUGUUGUAAGAGAAGAACGAGUGUGAGAGUGGAAAGUUCACACUGUGACGGUAUCUUACCAGAAAGGGACGGCUAACUACGUG
rnacentral:rRNA from 1 species